GACGAACGCUGGCGGCGUGCUUAACACAUGCAAGUCGAACGGAAAGGCCCUGCUUUUGUGGGUGCUCGAGUGGCGAACGGGGGAGUAACACGUGAGUAACCUGCCCUUGACUUUGGGAUAACUUCAGGAAACUGGGGCUAAUACCGGAUAGUAGCUCCUGCUGCCUGGUGGGGGUUGGAAAGUUUCGGCGGUUGGGGAGGGACUCGCGGCUUAGCAGCUUGUUGGUGGGGUAGUGGCGUACCAAGGCUUUGACGGGUAGCCGGCCUGAGAGGGUGACCGGCCACAUUGGGACUGAGAUACGGCCCAGACUCCUACGGGAGGCAGCAGUGGGGAAUAUUGCACAAUGGGCGGAAGCCUGAUGCAGCAACGCCGCGUGCGGGAUGACGGCCUUCGGGUUGUAAACCGCUUUCGCCUGUGACGAAGCGUGAGUGACGGUAAUGGGUAAAGAAGCACCGGCUAACUACGUG
rnacentral:rRNA from 1 species